UUUGUACAGGAUUGUCAGUCUGUGAUGGAAGUUGAAGAAUGAGGAUGGUGCUGUAGUUUGGUGUUAGCGAGUGUGGAAGAUCUGUUUUUUUUUUUUCCUGGUUUCACAGAUUUGGUUUAAGACUAGUCUCAGACUAGUGCUUGUGCUGUUUUAAAUGAAAGCAAUUUUCACCAACACAUCUUAAAAUGUCAGUGCUAUUGUUUUGUUACAUGAUACCAAAUGCUUUUCUAAUGCACUUUUAUAUUGUAAUUUUUAUAAGGCCUAAUCCUGUCUAAAUCUAAACCAUCUGUGAAACCAGGCCUGAAUGUUAUUUGUUUUUGGCAUAUUCUAUAUCUAUUUCAAUUCAAUUCUUUUUUUUUUUUUUUUUUUUUUUUGUGCUGCUUUUUCAGUUAAUUGUUUUUCAGAUCCUUCAUUGUCACUGGAAAUGGACAGGCUGAGUUACGAAAUGGUUUAGAAUAUUGAGUGGAGAUGCUUUACCUGGGCAAGAACACAGACCGGGCUCUUCCCUCUUCCACAUCACCCCCAGCUCUCUGGCAGAUUCAGUGUUUCAAAGCUGACUUAAUUCCAGUAGCUGCACUCAGCUCAUCUUGGGACUGACCUGGAUUUGCCCAGAGGACAUCGCCACACCAUAUACUCCUUUCACACCCCUCAUUAAAUUACGAGUAGAGGAACAGCAUUCCAAGCUCUUCUAGACCUGUUUGACUUAACAUAUCAUUACUGCAACACAGAUUUACAAAUUGAGAUCCUGACAUGUCAAAAGUAACCUUCUGGAAAAUCAAGUUGCCCAGAUGAGAAGUCCUUCCAGGUUUGAAGACCAACUCUGUCUGCCAGUUCCAAAGUUCCAAAACCGAUAAUUCUCACCAAUAGUCAUACUUUACUCAUCUUUGCAUUGAAUGAGACCUGGAUUUGAUAAAAGUGACACCUCCCUCUACCAACUUCACCAAACCUUGGAGGGGUUUGAGAUUGGGUGUGCUUGCCGCUUAUUCUUGCAAAUACUCUUCUGUGCAAUAAUUCUUUUGAAUUCAUGAUUAUUAAUACUAAUUGAAUUUUGUGAUGAUGUGCUCCAGGUGAGUGUGUGUUCUCUUAUUCUCCUCUUAUGCAUUUUUUUUUUUUUCAAACUUUAAAGCUGUUUAUUUCUGUUUAAAUGUCAUGUGAAAAUGACUUGACAAUUUUUGCUUUUUGUAUUCAUGGCUUUGCCUCUUAUACCCUUUAAGCUUUUUUUUUUUUUUUUUUUUUUUUUUUUUUUUACUGCUUUUGGUGUGUACUCCUUUUAAUUACUGUUAAUGAUUUUGCCAUUUGACUUUUUCUGCCUGUUAUGCUAUGAUAUACACCUUUCUAUUAUAUUGUAAAGCUUUGUAUGAAUUUUUUAUUUUACGCUUUUUGUCUUUAUGCACUUGGGUUAGGGUCCCCCCCCAAAGUCUUUUAUGCUCCUUUUUAUUUUUGUCUGUACCCAUAUGCCUAACCAGUAAACUGGUUCCCCAACA